GACGAACGCUGGCGGCGUGCUUAACACAUGCAAGUCGAACGGAAAGGCCUCUUUCGGGGGGUACUCGAGUGGCGAACGGGUGAGUAACACGUGAGUAACCUGCCCUUGACUUUGGGAUAACUUCAGGAAACUGGGGCUAAUACCGGAUAGGAGCUCCUGCUGCAUGGUGGGGGUUGGAAAGUUUCGGCGGGUGGGGAUGGAAUCGCGGCUUAUCAGCUUGUUGGUGGGGUAGUGGCUUACCAAGGCUUUUUCGGGGAGCCGGCCUGGGAGGGUGACCGGCCACAUUGGGACUGGGAUAAGGCCCAGACUCCUACGGGAGGCAGCAGGGGGGAAUAUUGCACAAUGGGUGGAAGCCUGAUGCAGCAACGCCGUGUGCGGGAAGACGGGCUUCGGGUUGUAAACCGCUUUCGCUCAUGACGAAGCUUUGUGUGACGGUAGUGGGUAAAGAAGCACCGGCUAACUACGUG
rnacentral:rRNA from 1 species